rnacentral:misc_RNA from 1 species
UGUGGGAGCGAGCUUGCUCGCGAUGGCGUCAUUGAAUUCAAUAUUUGAAUUGCCUGUCAGUCCGCUAUCGCGAGCAAGCUCGCUCCCACA